GACGAACGCUGGCGGCGUGCUUAACACAUGCAAGUCGAACGGAAAGGCCCUGCUUUUGUGGGGUGCUCGAGUGGCGAACGGGUGAGUAACACGUGAGUAACCUGCCCUUGACUUUGGGAUAACUUCAGGAAACUGGGGCUAAUACCGGAUAGGAGCUCCUGCUGCAUGGUGGGGGUUGGAAAGUUUCGGCGGUUGGGGAUGGACUCGCGGCUUAUCAGCUUGUUGGUGGGGUAGUGGCUUACCAAGGCUUUGACGGGUAGCCGGCCUGAGAGGGUGACCGGCCACAUUGGGACUGAGAUACGGCCCAGACUCCUACGGGAGGCAGCAGUGGGGAAUAUUGCACAAUGGGCGGAAGCCUGAUGCAGCAACGCCGCGUGCGGGAUGACGGCCUUCGGGUUGUAAACCGCUUUCGCCUGUGACGAAGCGUGAGUGACGGUAAUGGGUAAAGAAGCACCGGCUAACUACGUGCCAGCAGCCACGGUGAUACGUAGGGUGCGAGCGUUGUCCGGAUUUAUUGGGCGUAAAGGGCUCGUAGGUGGUUGAUCGCGUCGGAAGUGUAAUCUUGGGGCUUAACCCUGAGCGUGCUUUCGAUACGGGUUGACUUGAGGAAGGUAGGGGAGAAUGGAAUUCCUGGUGGAGCGGUGGAAUGCGCAGAUAUCAGGAGGAACACCAGUGGCGAAGGCGGUUCUCUGGGCCUUUCCUGACGCUGAGGAGCGAAAGCGUGGGGAGCGAACAGGCUUAGAUACCCUGGUAGUCCACGCUGUAAACGGUGGGUACUAGGUGUGGGGUCCAUUCCACGGGUUCCGUGCCGUAGCUAACGCUUUAAGUACCCCGCCUGGGGAGUACGGCCGCAAGGCUAAAACUCAAAGGAAUUGACGGGGCCCCGCACAAGCGGCGGAGCAUGCGGAUUAAUUCGAUGCAACGCGUAGAACCUUACCUGGGUUUGACAUGGAUCGGGAGUGCUCAGAGAUGGGUGUGCCUCUUUUGGGGUCGGUUCACAGGUGGUGCAUGGCUGUCGUCAGCUCGUGUCGUGAGAUGUUGGGUUAAGUCCCGCAACGAGCGCAACCCUUGUUCACUGUUGCCAGCACGUUAUGGUGGGGACUCAGUGGAGACCGCCGGGGUCAACUCGGAGGAAGGUGGGGAUGACGUCAAGUCAUCAUGCCCCUUAUGUCCAGGGCUUCACGCAUGCUACAAUGGCUGGUACAGAGAGUGGCGAGCCUGUGAGGGUGAGCGAAUCUCGGAAAGCCGGUCUCAGUUCGGAUUGGGGUCUGCAACUCGACCUCAUGAAGUCGGAGUCGCUAGUAAUCGCAGAUCAGCAACGCUGCGGUGAAUACGUUCCCGGG
rnacentral:rRNA from 1 species